rnacentral:rRNA from 1 species
AUUGAACGCUGGCGGCAUGCUUUACACAUGCAAGUCGAACGGCAGCACGGGUGCUUGCACCUGGUGGCGAGUGGCGGACGGGUGAGUAAUACAUCGGAACGUGUCCUGAAGUGGGGGAUAACGCAUCGAAAGAUGUGCUAAUACCGCAUAUACUCUGAGGAGGAAAGUAGGGGAUCGAAAGACCUUAUGCUUUUGGAGCGGCCGAUGUCUGAUUAGCUAGUUGGUAGGGUAAUGGCUUACCAAGGCAACGAUCAGUAGUUGGUCUGAGAGGACGGCCAGCCACACUGGGACUGAGACACGGCCCAGACUCCUACGGGAGGCAGCAGUGGGGAAUUUUGGACAAUGGGCGCAAGCCUGAUCCAGCCAUGCCGCGUGAGUGAAGAA